rnacentral:rRNA from 1 species
UACGUAGGCAGCGAGCGUUGUUCGGAGUUACUGGGCGUAAAGGGUGUGUAGGCGGUUUUCUAAGUUUGGUGUGAAAUCUCCCGCUCAACCGGGAGGGUGCGCCGAAAACUGGGAGACUAGAGUGCGGGAUGGGAGAGUAGAAUUCCUGGUGUAGCGGUGAAAUGCGUAGAUAUCAGGAGGAAUACCGGUGGUGUAGACGGCUCUCUGGACCGCCACUGACGCUGAGACACGAAAGCGUGGGUAGGCAAACAGG